rnacentral:lncRNA from 1 species
AGACAUCUCAGGCUUUCAGAUUCUCUGUUAAUCAAAUCCCAAGCGCUAAAAGGAAUCAAGAGACGUGAAAAGUGUUGCUGAAGAAGCAGGGGGUGGGGGAGGGAAACAAACAAAGCCACCCCCCCCCAUUCCCCAGAGAAGGAGCAGCUUCUGCAUCAUAUCUCAUCUGGGAAAAAUUAUAUUUUGGGAAUUACGUGCUUCUUCUGAAAAGCCUUAAAGAGAUUUAAUAAAACGAGACAAGCUAAUAAUAUAGGGAAUGAAUAGCAACCCUGGAUUCUGCAUCUUGAUUUAAUCAGAUGCUUUUCCUCAGGGGGACAAGCAAGAACUAUGGCUCAAGCCUCCCUUCCCUUCCCUCCCCAGCUGCUCCCCUCUUCCUCUGGCCAUCCCCUCCUCUCCCACCCCGGGGGAGCAGCCAGGGCAGGAUUGGGGGUCCCACAAAUCCCUGGUGUCCAGCAGCAGCUGCUGGGAAUGCAGAGCCCACGCUGGUUCUUUGGGAGCAGGGCAAGGAGCUGGACAGCAGCUUGCUGUGCAGCCCUAGGGACAGGGGCCCUGUCCAAAGCACAGUCCUGGGGGAGAAAAGCAGGAAUUGGGGAGCCAGGAGAGCUGGACUGGGCUCUGUGUGCGUGGUUGUUCCAGAGGCUGGGAAUGCUGUGAGCUGCUGCAGUGGGGAUGAGCCCUUGGUGGGAUGUGAAGGAGCUGAUGUGGGAUGUGCUCCUCUCUGUGUCUGGGACAGCUGCACAAGGGCACCAAUGGCUCUCCCAGUCCUGUUCCACUGCACAAGGGCACCAAUGGCUCUCCCAGCCCUGUUCCACUGCACAAGGGCACCAAUAUUGGGCUCUCUCAGUCCUGUUCCCCUGCUCAGGACCCGGCCGUGAACCCAGGCCAGCCCAGCCCCGGGGGGAUGAUCCUUCCCAGCUCCGCAGCACACUCAGAAACCCAACUCAUGUUCUGAUGUAAUUGUCCUUUUCCGAGUAUCCCCUGCUCGCCUGUGCCUGUGCUGGGCACCCUGGUGCUGCUCCUGCUUCCUGGAACAUUUUGCUUCCCACAUUUCUGCCGUGGUGCUGCUGCUCUGAGCUCUGUUCUGCUGCUGCUGCACAGCUCGUCCAAGGCAGGCCCUGGGGAGCCUCGUGUUCUGUCGCUGGGAUGUUUGUGUGACUUUCGUGGAAUUCCCUUCCCUCAGCCACUCGCUCACGGACACAGGGUGGGUUUUGCUGGUUGGCAGGUGGCUGGUAAACCGAGGAGGGUGAAAAUAGGGAGGGAAACAGCAAGAAAACAAGGAUUGAUCUGUGCUGGAGGUGAUUCUGUUAAAGGUGUCGCUGGGGUUCAUGCAGAGCAUCCUGCCUGUGGCUCUGGCUGUGCUGAGCUGCUGCAUCAAAGAGAUUCUAUCCUCCAAAACCAGGCAAGGAGCAAAACAUCCCACAAAUAGCAGGGACGAGCUCUGGCAGCCGUGGGGGAAAUGCCCUUUUGCCUGCCUCUGCUUUAAGCCUUGGGCUAUUUGCAGUCAGGUCAGAAAUAGGUGGUGAUUUGUAAAAGAGUCAUAACUGUGGGAAGGCUUUGCCUUGCAGCGUGGUGGAUCCUUUAUCAUCAAUCACUGGCAGCGGCUCCCAGCAAAUGGGCUUUGCUCCUACAGGAGAUGAGUUUCAGCUGAUGCUGUGUGAUGCUCCCUGCUCGGGCUCUGCGUGACUCCACGAGGAGCUGGGCACAGGCAGUGCCUGCAACCUCUGCUCUGAGAGCUCCCAGCACCAGCAGCUCCUCUCCACCCACCCCAGGCCCCUGACACCCCAUCCUCUGCUCCCACCCCACCAAACCCACAGGAUCCCAGUGCACAUCUGUCUCCUGGCAUGCUCUGCCCAAAGGACUCUUUAGAAGGAGAAAAUGGAUUUUUUUUUUUUUUCCUGUCAGCCAGGAGCAGAUUUCAAGCAGGCUAUUUUUACCUGUUCCUGACUCUAUUAAUAGUUGUGCGGCCAGCAAUAAAUGCUGAUCGGGAGAUUCGAUUUGUCUGUCC